rnacentral:sRNA from 1 species
UUUUUUUUGUUUGGACCACUGCGGACUAUAAUUGAUGAAUGAAAAAUAAAAAGCGGUUUGAUCCAUUGACGGUUGUGUCCGCCCCAACCGCCGUAACCAUUCACAACCCAUGUUGUAAAACCAAGAAUAACAAAAAAGAUUGUUAAUUGACUUUUUCCGAUAUUAUA